rnacentral:rRNA from 1 species
UUUGAUCAUGGCUCAGAUUGAACGCUGGCGGCAGGCCUAACACAUGCAAGUCGAGCAGGAUGAAAGAGAGCUUGCUCCUGGAUUCAGCGGCGGACGGGUGAGUAAUGCCUAGGAAUCUGCCUGGUAGUGGGGGAUAACGUCCGGAAACGGGCGCUAAUACCGCAUACGUCCUGAGGGAGAAAGUGGGGGAUCUUCGGACCUCACGCUAUCAGAUGAGCCUAGGUCGGAUUAGCUAGUUGGUGGGGUAAAGGCCUACCAAGGCGACGAUCCGUAACUGGUCUGAGAGGAUGAUCAGUCACACUGGAACUGAGACACGGUCCAGACUCCUACGGGAGGCAGCAGUGGGGAAUAUUGGACAAUGGGCGAAAGCCUGAUCCAGCCAUGCCGCGUGUGUGAAGAAGGUCUUCGGAUUGUAAAGCACUUUAAGUUGGGAGGAAGGGCAGUAAGUUAAUACCUUGCUGUUUUGACGUACCAACAGAAUAAGCACCG